ACGUAGGGUGCAAGCGUUAAUCGGAAUUACUGGGCGUAAAGCGUGCGCAGGCGGUUAUGCAAGACAGAGGUGAAAUCCCCGGGCUCAACCUGGGAACUGCCUUUGUGACUGCAUGGCUAGAGUACGGUAGAGGGGGAUGGAAUUCCGCGUGUAGCAGUGAAAUGCGUAGAUAUGCGGAGGAACACCGAUGGCGAAGGCAAUCCCCUGGACCUGUACUGACGCUCAUGCACGAAAGCGUGGGGAGCAAACAG
rnacentral:rRNA from 1 species